rnacentral:rRNA from 1 species
CCUACGGGUGGCAGCAGUGAGGAAUAUUGGUCAAUGGUCGGGAGACUGAACCAGCCAAGCCGCGUGAGGGAGGAAGGUACAGAGUAUCGUAAACCUCUUUUGUCAGGGAACAAAGACUGGGACGCGUCCCCGGAUGAGUGUACCUGACGAAAAAGCAUCGGCUAACUCCGUGCCAGCCGCCGCGGUAAUACGGAGGAUGCGAGCGUUAUCCGGCUUUAUUGGGUUUAAAGGGUUCGCCGGCGGUCUGUUAAGUCAGCGGGCAAAGCCCGGGGCCAAACCCCGGCCCGCCGUUGAAACUGGCAGUCUCGAGUUGGAGAGAGGGAUGCGGAAUGCGCGGUGUAGCGGUGAAAUGCAUAGAUAUCGCGCAGAACUCCGAUUGCGAAGGCAGCAUGCCGGCUCCACACUGACGCUGAGGCACGAAAGCGUGGGUAUCGAACAGGAUUAGAUACCCUUGUAGUC